UCAAUUCCUGUUUUAGUUAGUUUUAGUUCCUUAGUUUGAUUCUAGAUCAGUUUAGUUAGAUUUAAUUUUCUGUUUUAGUGGAUUUUAGGUUGUUAAGAUAGGGUAGAAUAGGUUAUUAGGUUCUGGGACUAAUGAAAUUGUGUGGAAAAUGCUUGACCGUAUUGAUGAGUCGCUGUUUUAGGGUUUGUUUCUGCUGAAAUGUUGCUGAUUUGGUGUUGUUUAUGUUGAACUUAAUGAAUAGAUGUUAAAAGACUGUUUGUUUUGUUGAAUAAUUGCUGAAAUUUGGUUGAAUAGCAUUUAUUUGAAUUUGAAUUGUCAGCUACUACUUGGUUGCAUUGAUUUGUUGCUGAACCACUGCAAGAUGCUGUUGGUUUUGUGUAAUUGAUGCUGAAUUUUGUGAAAUUGUUUUUUUUUAUGAAUCAUGCUGGGAUUGAUAUUGACAUUUGAUGCUGCUAUGCAUGUUACUCUUGCUGAUUGAGUGAAUGCUAUAUCUGUUGGCUACUGAUUGUUUCUGCUCUCGCUACUUGAUUUGCUACUGAUUCUGUUUUUAGUGGUGAUUUUGUGCUAAAUUUGUGUAAACUUUGAGUAUAUGCACACUGCUUGUUUGAUAAUAUGUCUCAGUUUUUAAUGGAAAUUUGGUUCAAUCUCUAAAAAUCAAUGCUUGCUAUGCAUUGAUGUAAAUGUGAAUAUUUCUAAUUGACUAAAAUUUUUGAAUCUUGAAUGUUUGAGGUCUUUUGGUGUUUGAACUUAUUCCUCUCACCUUGCUUAACCAUUAUUCUUGUUUAUUCACCAAUUGCUUGAAUAUGCCUCUAUGUCUAACUUGUGCUUUAAAUUGCAUGUUGUAGCUACCAUGUGAUUUAGAAUAUUUGAUUUUGUUUGGCAUCAUUUACCAAGUUUAGUUUGAUAUGAUGGAUUGCUUGAGAUGCUAGUUCUUAUUGAUUGAGUUUUGACUAUAUGCGUUUGAUACAAUUGCCAUGAUUGGAUUAUUUGAAAAUUGAAUUUCAAUGACAACAUCACAUACUCUAAACCUCUUCUUUUGCAUAAUCCAUCACACUAUAUCAAUUGCUUGAUUAUUUGCCUAAGUGUCCUUAUGCUUCUUGUUGCUUGUGUGUUUGUUUCAACUUGCAAGUGUUCUUUAAAGCAUCUUAGGCACAUUAAAAUGAGUGAGUAUAUGCAUACUUUAUGUAGUUGUGACAGCUUUCAAGUGCUAGUGCAUGAGUUCUAAACCGUGCGCAAACUUAGAAUUCACACACUAUUUUUCUUAAUGUCACAAACUCAUCAACUCACUUCAUUUUAGUGAUUAUGACCUUAUUCCAGAAAUCUAUGCUUCCUAGAUCAUUGAGUAUUUGAAUUGUGAUAUUCUAAGACAUUUGCAAUCCAGGGAUAAUUGAAGAGUGGCAUUGUCAUUUGAUUGUGCUUAUGUCUUCAAUUAAAAAAAAAGGCAAAAGCACAUAUGAGCCAGCCUGUUUAUGCCAUCAAAAAGGCAGGCUACGAAUGAAUAUUAGGACCAUGAACAAAAAACACCACUUAACUCGCGCCGUUUAGCCCCCGGGAAGUGACAAAGCAGGCUUGGAGGCACUCACCAAAUUAUUUAUUUAUUAGUUUAAAAAAAAUUAAAAAAUAAAUCAGUAAUCACCUACCAGCAGCAAUUCACACAUACUAUACUUUCACUCCUAAUCCCAUUCGGCUAUGAUCCCUUACUCCUUCCACCAUAUCCAUUACUCCCUGCUUUCUUCAUUCCUCGUUGUCAUGAUUGCAGAAUGGCAGAGCUUUGCCUCUAGCAUUCUUCACCGUCUUAGAUAUAUUAGAGCUUUCCAUCAGUCAUAUUCUUCAUUGUGUUAGCUGCAGGAGCUUCUGUGUGAGUCGCCUUCGUCGAUUGUCAAGUAAUUUCUUUAACAUUAAGAUAUGGGUACUUUUAGUUUUAUAUUCACAUAAUUAAACUAUGUCAUGAUUUUAUUUGGUUUAUUAAAUAUAGAUAUCAAAAUUUUAAGUUUUGGGUUAAUUUUUUUCUUAGAAUGGUUGAUGCAUUUGUACAAGAAUAAUCUAGGCAGGGAAACCAAUUACUUGGGAGUAAAAAGGUCACCAUAGAAUCUCCGCCGUGCGUCUGACACCCAGCCUGAGGAGUACAUCGUCGUGAUGCGCCUAAGGAGAAUCAUCAGAGAUAGAAUCGUCGCGUCAGAGGGAGAAUUGUCGCCGUCCAGCAAGGUUGUCAACGGCAGAAUCGUCGUCUCCAAGGCAAAAUCGUCUUUUGAAGCUCUCCACUGGCGGUGAAACUUGUUCCUCUUGCGCUGUCCAUCGCUCCUUUGUCUCCUCCUGUCGCUCGAAGCAAGCCCCGCCUGAAGCUCUCCAAGGCCACACUUAUUUUCAGGUUCAAGUCCCUGCCUGAAGCUCUUCCAUUGAUUGAGGGAUUGUUGACAGGGAAUGCAGCAAUUGUGUGAGUAGCAAACAGAGAAAGCCCCCUUCACAACAAGUUAGGAGCUUUAAGGUUAAACAAGAAGGGGGUUCUUGAGCUUCUUAGUAACGCAAAUAAAACCAUUUGGUCAUCCAACAUAGCAAGCAAAACCAAAGUCAUGAGUAGCUCAAUUGCACAACUCUUGGAUACAGGAAAUCUUGUAGUGAAAAAUGGACAAGAUACUAAUAGUGAGGUCAACCUUUUGUGGCAAAGUUUCGAUUAUCCUGGCAAGGACAUGCAUAAAUUUAAAACUGAUUGUGUUCAAUAAAGAAGAGGUCUAUUAUGAGUUUGAAAUUCUUGAUAGAUCAAUCUUCUCUGUAUUCAAAAUGGAUUCUGGGAAUACACAGAUUAUGGCUUGGGAAAUUCAAACAAGAAUUCUAGUGGAAGUUUCCAGAUCAAUGGACCAAAUGCAUGUAAAAGUUAUUCUCUAAAGAUACUUCAGACAUGCAGUUUGAGUUUCUCACUAGCUACAUCGCUGAGCUCAGUUUGUUGGAUUAUAAUUGUGUGAAAUUCUUGUCUUCUUUGGUGGCAGCAUGUGUUGUAUUUCUAUCAAGAUUUAUGCUUAAGCCCAAAGACACAAAGACACCUCCUUGGAAUGCAGCACUUCAUCAACUCACUAGAUAUAAACCUGCCGAAUUGAAGGAACGUGCUCAAAAUAUACAUGAUUUGUACCUCAGUAGGAGAGGUGGCUCUUUCCAAGCUCACAGAGAAAUACAAACAACAUAAGGUGCUUGAUCUUCCUUGUUUAUUCGAGAUUCUUUAAGUUUGGAUAACAUUUCAAAUUUAAGACUCAAUAACUUGGAACUGGAAAAAGGAUCGUGGCAAGAUCAUGCAUCCAUUUGUUGGACUAGGUGCCAAGGGAAGUUUUAAAUUUCCCUCAACCUCAUUGAAGAUUGUAAUGACACUAGUUUGUAAUUUUGUAUCCCCAAUAUGAUUACAGAUUCUUCUAGAUAAUGUAAAAUUGUUUGACCAGCUGCUUGACUUUGUUUUCUACAUGCUUAUUGUUCUUGGUGGUUGCAAACAA